UACGUAGGAUCCGAGCGUUGUCCGGAUUUACUGGGUGUAAAGGGUGCGCAGGCGGACUGGUAAGUCAGAGGUGAAAUCUCGUCGCUCAACGACGAAACUGCCUUUGAUACUAUCAGUCUUGAAUCCGGUAGAGAUCUGUGGAAUUCCGAGUGUAGCAGUGAAAUGUGUAGAUAUUCGGAAGAACACCAGUGGCGAAGGCAGCAGAUUGGGACGGUAUUGACGCUCAGGCACGAAAGCAUGGGGAUCAAACAGG
rnacentral:rRNA from 1 species